rnacentral:lncRNA from 1 species
AAACCUCCACCUUAGAAUCCCUUCUCCUCCCAAAACUCUCUCCAACAUCACCUAAACCCUAGCCCCCGCUACCCAAAUCCACCUUAAUCUCUUUCAAUCCCUACUUAAUCCAUGGACUCCCAUGGUGGUUUGAGGCAUGUACUUGUCUCUUAUGUCUACUGGUUAUCUAUUUUCAUGAUUCCAUGGACAGAUCUCAAAGAGAUCUAGUCCAGUCCCUGCUCAACCUCUAUAUCCGGACUUCUUUUCGCCACCCAUGACUGUUUAAGUCGGAUAUAUGGCUUUUCCGGCUAGAUCGGUAAUCUUUCGAAGUCUUUCUCACUUUUUUGGGUUCUUUGAAACCCUAGAUUUUAAGAUCUUUUGACUUUCUUUCAGAUCUAUCUUAGAUCUGUGCUUGUUAUGAACUUCUUAGUGUUUUCUUAAAGGUUCUUUAAUUUUCUUUCAAAGUAACUCCUCAUUGUCAAAUUAGGGUUUCCUAAACUUUUCUCCGAUUUUUAGUGUGUUUUAUGAUUUUCUUAUGUUAAACGAUUUGCUUAUGUUUUCUUCUACCUGGUUCAUCGUGUUAAAAACCCUAGGUACUUUUGGGUUUUAUCCGAGUUCUAAAGCUGUCUUUGUUUGUUUGUAUGAAUGUUUGUUUCGAUUGAGGUCUUUUUAUUUGGAUCCUUUUCUUUGUUCACUGAUUCAGAGUUCUUACCAUUUUCUUUACUAUUGUUAAUAUCCUAAUUGUUCAAAAGGUUUUCUU